rnacentral:rRNA from 1 species
AUAACCUCGGGAAACUGAGACUAAUACCCCAUAGGUCCAGAAUGCUGGAAUGCUUCUGGGCUGAAAGCUCCGGCGCCCAAGGAUUGGUCUACGGCCUAUCAAGCUGUAGUGGGUGUAACGGACCCACUNNNCUAUGNNNGGUNNNGGCCUUGAGAGAGGGAGCCCAGANANNNACUCUGAGACAUGANNNNNGGCNNNACGGGGUGCAGCAGUCGCGAAAACUUCACGAUGGGAGCAAUCCCGAUGAGGGAAUUCCAAGUGCCAACACACUGUGUUGGCUGUUCUCCUGUCUAAAAAGCAGGAGAAGUAAGGGCCGGGUAAGACGGGUGCCAGCCGCCGCGGUAAUACCCGCGGCCUGAGUGGUGGUCGAUAUUAUUGAGCCUAAAACGUCCGUAGCCGGUCUCGUAAAUCCCUGGGUAAAUCGGCCAGCUCAACUGUCCGAAUUCCGGGGAGACUGCGGGACUUGGGACCGGGAGAGGUCAGAGGUACUUCCGGGGUAGGGGUAAAAUCCUGUAAUCCUGGAAGGACCACCGGUGGCGAAGGCGUCUGACUAGAACGGAUCCGACGGUGAGGGACGAAGCCCUGGGGCGCAAACGGGAUUAGAUACCCCGGUAGUCCAGGGUGUAAACGCUGCGGGCU